rnacentral:rRNA from 1 species
CGCGUAGGUGGUUUGGUGAGUCGGAUGUGAAAGCCCCGGGCUUAACCCGGGAAUUGCAUUCGAUACUGCCUGGCUAGAGUAUGGUAGAGGGAAGCGGAAUUCCCGGUGUAGCGGUGAAAUGCGUAGAUAUCGGGAGGAACAUCAGUGGCGAAGGCGGCUUCCUGGACCAAUACUGACACUGAGGCGCGAAAGCGUGGGGAGCAAACA